rnacentral:pre_miRNA from 1 species
CAUGUACUCCCUCCGUUCGGAAUUACUCGUCCAAGAAAUGAAUGUAUCUAGAUGUAUUUUGGUUGUAGAUACAUCCAUUCUUGUGACAAGUAAUUCCGAACGGAGGGAGUAUGAA